UACACACACACACACACAGAUACACGGACGAGUACUCACGUCGGCGGCCGGGGAAGGACUGAGCACGGCUGAGGCUUGAAGAGCCACAAGACUGUAGCUUCCUCGUGGUAAGGUGUGCUGUGUUACCAAGAAUGUCUCACUCUGGCGUGCACUGCUCAGUAACACCAGACUUCUCUACUCGCAACAGCUCCAGAUGAGAUUCCAGAUAACGCACAGAUACCACAAACUUCCCCCCACACAGCUCGUGCAGACCUUGAACACUGGUCUAAGUGGCACCACCCCCUGGUAGCCUCCAUUGUCACUGGCCAACACCACGCGCGUCCUCUUCUGCAAUGGGAAGCUUUAUAUCCAAAACUAGCAUUAGGAGAACGUUCGCCACUGCUUCAGAAUUGAACUUAUAUUCAUGAGAUUCGUCUCUCCCAUAUAAAUAAAUAAAUAAAUAAAUAAAAUACAAAUAAAUUAAGAAAUUAUA